rnacentral:rRNA from 1 species
UACAGAGGGGGCAAGCGUUGUUCGGAAUUACUGGGCGUAAAGGGCGCGUAGGCGGCCUGCUAAGUCGAACGUGAAAUCCCCGGGCUCAACCCGGGAACUGCGUCCGAUACUGGUAGGCUUGAAUUCGGGAGAGGGGAUGCGGAAUUCCAAGGUGUAGCGGUGAAAUGACGUAGAUAUCUGGAGGAACACCGGUGGCGAAGGCGGCAUCCUGGACCGGCAUUGACGCUAAAGCGCGAAAGCCAGGGGAGCAAACGGG